rnacentral:rRNA from 1 species
GAUGUACGCUGGCGGCGUGCCUAAUACAUGCAAGUCGAGCGAACAGACGAGGAGCUUGCUCCUCUGACGUUAGCGGCGGACGGGUGAGUAACACGUGGAUAACCUACCUAUAAGACUGGGGUAACUUCGGGAAACCGGAGCUAAUACCGGAUAAUAUAUUGAACCGCAUGGUUCAAUAGUGAAAGACGGUUUUGCUGUCACUUAUAGAUGGAUCCGCGCCGCAUUAGCUAGUUGGUAAGGUAACGGCUUACCAAGGCAACGAUGCGUAGCCGACCUGAGAGGGUGAUCGGCCACACUGGAACUGAGACACGGUCCAGACUCCUACGGGAGGCAGCAGUAGGGAAUCUUCCGCAAUGGGCGAAAGCUUGACGGAGCAACGCCGCGUGAGUGAUGAAGGUCUUCGGAUCGUAAAACUCUGUUAUUAGGGAAGAACAAAUGUGUAAGUAACUAUGCACGUCUUGACGGUACCUAAUCAGAAAGCCACGGCUAACUACGUG